GCUAACGUAGAAAACGGGCCGAGAGCGAGAGAAAAAAAAUCAAUUCAAACGCCCGACAUUCGGACUUUUAACGGCUCCACUGGCCCACCGGACGUGGAAAGCGCUUUCGCUUCUUUCCAUCUCUGGCUCCGGAGCUUUAGACUUUUUUUUAUCUUUCGGGUUUUCAAACGCAGGAGGAGAGAAUCAGGAAAAAAAAGGGAAAUGUGCCCUGUUUAACGUUUACCAAUGGGAUGGACGAUUAGUAACGUGAAGGGGAGAGCUGACGCCAGCCCGUGAUGGAUCUGAGCCAAUCGGCCUUGACGUAUGUUUACACGCACAAGGGCCCGGAUCCUGCCCGGCUCCCCGUUAUGUUACGUCGAUGCAGAUGACUCCUUGGCCGCCGCCUCCGCCGCUCUCUGCCGAGGACAGUUCCCGCAACAAGCGGCGCGGCACCCGUUUCAAAUCCAGCUCUUUCUUUUUAAAUUUUGACCAUAAGGUCAGAAGUGGAAACGUUUACUGUCAAAUGGAACAUUCCUCAGAGCUCCUCAAGUAUUGAAGCAGUCCGUGUCCACCUCUGGUAAGAGCUGAUCAACAUUGAGGCUUGGCCUGAUAAAUGAUGGAGAUCACUUGUAUUGCCUGGCACUUGGGUAAUGACCACUUCCAGCAAGAGGGUUUAACCACCACCCCUUUUCGUUCGACAGUAAUCUCAUGAUUUAUCCUGGGGGUUAUUUGACAAGCCAAUUGACUAAUUGAUAGUAUGGUUUUGAGAACAAAUAGCUGGAUUUUAUGAAAAGUGAAACUCUCCUCAAAAUUCCAAGGCCUUUUCACUAUCCACAGGGCACAAGGCAGUGCAAUAAAAUACACUCCACGAUGAAAACAAAACUCAAGAAGCUUGACUAAGCAGACUUUAUAGGCACCCAAUCCAUCACCAGAACUAUACAGCUGCCUAAAUUGCCAUCCACAAGAUGUCAAGGCUUCUACCACAUAGAAGGAUGUGCAGUAGAUGCACGUGUUUACCACCACUUCCAAAUUCCAUGCCUUUUUGAUUUAGAUUAAAUAAUUGUUUCUUCUUGGUCACAAGUUUAAAAUUCAGGACUUCCCUCCCUAACCUCAAUACAUAGAUUGCAGAAGUUAAAGAAUGUGACUUACCACUGCUUUGAGUAGUUAGGCAACAGAAGUGACUACUGGCUUAUCAAUGUUUAUAUUUCUAAUUCUUCAUUGCUUCCUUUCUAUUCAAUUUCUGUAUAAUGUUAAUUAGAGUUUAAUAAUUAUUCUAAAAAGCACCAAAACAGUUGGCUGUUAUAUUCAAAACAUUUAGCUUAUAAUACUUCAAUUAAAAUUUCCAUUUGUUUAUAAUUUUAUUUAACUAGGGUGGAUUUUAUUGAGGUUACUUUAACUGAUCCUGUACAGUGCCUAGCUUAAUGACCUCCAGCUACUGAUGUUGGAGGACUUGGUGAUUGGUGGUGACGUUGAACAUCAAGGUGAGAUGGCUAGACUGUCUUUUGGAGUUGGUUAAAAUUUAGAUGACACUUGUAUCACACAUACCACUUAUCAGUUUGUUGUAUAGAUCCUGUUAUUAUUUGUUCAUGGGAUAUGGAUGUUACUGACAACCCCAAUAUCUAAAUGCCUUGCCUGAUUGUCCCAAGAAUCACUGGCUGCUCAUUUCGGAGGAUCAAUUACAUUCAAGGGUUUGAAGUUCCCAGACUGAGUAAGGGUCGCAGAUAAGUUGAUAGCUUUAUGGUCACCAUUACAGAUGCAAGUUUCUUUUUAUUUAUUGCAGAAUUAUUUAAAUUCUUCAGCAGCCAUUGUAAGAUUCAAACUUAAUUCUGAAUCAAUAACUUAGGCCUCUGCUUACUAGUCCAGUAACUUAAUCAAAUUACUGUUUCCUAUAAAAACCUGAUAAAUCCUGAUACAUCAUUAGAGAAGUUGUGAAUGCAUCUAGCCUCACAUAUCGUUGCAUUGCCAAACAUUUAUUGGAAAUGCUAUCUGGCACAUGUUAGACUUCCAAAGAAAAAUGCAGUCAGAUCAGCAUUUAUAAGAGAUUAUUUUAAAUAAAACUUUGUCAGACUUGGAUUUUUGGGUGUGAUAGACCUACUUUAACUUUUGUUUUAGCAAAGGUCUUGUAAAGUUAAUGACAAAUGGAAGUGGAAAAUUGUACAAAGGGAGACUCAAUUAGCAUUUUAAUGAUGGAAGAGUACAACUCAAAAGUGCAAAAACAGAGGUUGAAGUAUUUGCUACCAUUUUCAACCAGAAGUGGAUAAUCCUCCAUUCAUCAUGAGAUUCACCCCAUCCAUCAUUCUAGAGCCAGGUUUAGGCACAGGAAAGAUUAAAAAAAAACCGUGGCUUCAGAUUUCCAUUCAAUUAUGCUUCAUCAAUCAUAAAGCAUCAGCAAAGUUAAAUGCUAUCGAGUAGUACUUAAUCACUGAUGAAUUGCUGAUCAAUUUCAAACAGGACUGGUAUAUUCUAAACCUCCUUGCAGCCUUCGUUGAAACGUGGACACGAGAAUUGAAUUCUGAUGUGGGAGUAAUUGCUCAUCACUUUAUGGCAGCAGUGAAGCCUGUGACAUUUCACAAGGCUCCCCAUGAAAGAAGUUGGGCUUGAGUAAGCUCAAAACAUCGCAGUAUCCAAAGCUCAGCUAUCUUCACCAUUAAGGAUAAAAAUGGGAAUUUCAGAGGGGAUUGCAGAAAUUUAAUGUGACAUAUCCAGUAGAGCUACUACUUCACAGUGCAGAGACCCAGGUUCUUUCCUUCCCUUGGGUGCUGUAUGGAGUUUGCACAUUCUCCCUGUGACCAUGCAAGUUUCCUCCAGACAUGACAGUUUCAUUCCACAUCCCAAAGAUUGGUAGGUUAAUUGGCCACUGCAAAUUGUCCUUAAUGUGUAGGUGAGUGGUAGAAUCUGGGGAGUUACUAAGAACGUAGGGAGAAAAAAAAUGGGAUUAAUGUAAAAUGAGUGUAAAUGGGUAAUUAGUGGCUGGCGCAGAUCCAGUGGGCUGAAGGGUAUAUUUGUGCUUUACAACUGUGUAAAUUCAGUUUCAUUUGCAACUCGUCAGCUAAUGAAUCAGUUUGUGUCAGCAUGCAACGUGUCUUGCAAACACUCCAGCUUAGGCUGAUGUAAUGGGUGACAACAUAGAUUUCAACUAGCUGCCAGACAAUUAUGAUCUCCAACAACAGGAUAUCCAGUCAUUUCCUCUUGACUUUCAAUUCUAUUACUAUCACCAAAUCUCCUAUUGUCCACUGUUAACCAGAAAUCUAACAGGACCAGCCACAAAAAUACUACCAAAAAAAAAUCAGAAAGUGUGUUCAUGCAGUAUCUAUGGAGAGAGAAAAAGAUUUAACAGUUCAGGUUAAUGUAGUGCAAAAUGUUCAUGACUCAAUAUCUUAAAUAACCUCUCUCCCACCAUGAGAGGCAUAUAAUGAUUCAGCAUUUGCAGAACAUGAAUUAUUCAGGUUUAGGAACAACCCAAGUUCACAUGGCUUGAAUUAUUAGAUAAUUGUUGAUAACACACAAAAUUGCAUUCAAUGCAGAACUAUUUUCACUUUCCUGGCUAGUUUAAGGCUACACCUCAGCAAUUAAAUAAAGCAUCUUCAAAAAGCUUAAAGUUAAACUUGAUGAGCAAGGCUCCCUGUGCAGAAGUAUAUUGAAUGUGGAAAUCAAAGUAUGGAAGUGCUAUUGCAGAUAUCCAGUUCAUUGUUAAUCAUUUGUCUUUAAAGAUUUUAUUGGCAAGCUGCAAAAUUACAAGUUAAUUUUGAGGAUGUGAAGGAUAGUCAAUUAGUGAGGGUCAUUAAUUAAGGUUAAUAAUGAAGGUCAGAGACUGAAUAGGGGUGUUAGAAAGCAUCCUUUAGAAUACUAAAAGGACAAGGAAAGAUGCACCUCAUGUUUAUAUCUCACUGAAGAUGGAAAAAAAUUACAAAAGAUAGGAUAUUGAAUGUGGAGGCUGGCAGGCUGAAGGGAGAGGACAUGGGGAACCCUAUCCUUGCUCUAGGUGAUAUAGAAAUUCAGGAUUCUAUUACUAAGUGAUCACAAGGAACUCAAGAUGAUUAAACACCAUUUGAAAGGGAAAUUGUGUUCAACAAAUCUCAAGUUUUGUGGAUAAGAUAUGCAAAGUGGAAUUAAAAAAAUCUUGCUGGUACUGGAAAUCUAACGCAAAAACAGAAAACGCUGGAAGAACUUAGCAAUCAGACAGCAUCCAUGGAGAGAGAAACAAUGCUUUAACUGAACCAGCUAUAAAUUUUCUUCCUGCCAAAUAGACUUUCAAAAGAUAAAGGUUCCAAAGUUUAUCUAGGACGUACAGCACUUGGGUUAUUUGCAUUGAUGGAAAUUUAAGGAACAGAAAAUGAAACUGGAUGAAAAUGGAUCCAAGGUUGGCAGACCAUUAUGAGUAGGCCUCUGCAAUGUAUAUGAAUUCCUAUGAUGAGUUUGAAGUAAGAAAAUAUUGUUGUAGUUUUCCUUAGGCAAUCAAUCACCCACCAUGGUUCAAAGAUAACUUGCUUUGGUCCCUCAGUUGUCACUUUGGAACUCUGAUGUGGGAACAGCAGACUCUCAUAGAUGGGGUAGGUGGUGCCUAACCGGGCAGAUGGGUGGGUAGUUUGAGGUGAUGCAUUACUUAACCAUUAACACAGGGCUUCUGUGUGCAUCGACCCAAGGAUCUCAACACUAUCCUAAAUGCUCGAGCGCUUGAAGCAGUUGUGGGCCAGGAAUUCCAGUGAGGAUGUCUGCCUUCAUUAAUAGGUGGCUCCUGAGAUACAAGUAGUCGUCCACAUUUUCCAGGGUCAGACUUUGUCAGAGGGCAGUCUUGUACAAAUGGAUCAGGUUGGUAGAAUGGAUCCAAUGAAUGUAACACCCAUCUUCUCAUUUGCUUCAAUGAGCAAACUGACGAUGGUUUGGAGUUCAGCUUCAGUGCAAAUGCUAAUAUUGUCGCAAGCUGGAUUCCAGAGCGUAGUUGCAGUAGGUUGAGAUGUUAUCCAUUAUUUCUGAUGAUCAACUCCACUCCUAUAGGAUGUGUGUUGGAGACCAUAGUCAAGACCCCAUCCUACUGAAAGCCAAGAAUAAAAGUGAACUUAUCUAGAUCAGAAGCAGCAGCUGGAAGAAACACUUUGAACAUCUCCUCAUCCAUGACACCAUCACACAACAACAUAUUCAGGCCAGCCGUGUCACCAUUCCCAACCAACAAAUUUAAAGACUAUAUACCAACGAAAACAAGGCCUUAGGAGUAGAUGGUAUCCAAGCUGAAGUUCUAAAUCUCUGUGGUGAAGAGUUUGGAUAUACCAGGAGAUUUCUCAAGCUGUAAUUGUGACUACCUUCAAGAAAGAAAACAUGUCUGACUAUGGUAACGACAAAGAGGUCUCCAUGCUGUCUGCCAUCGUUGCCAGGGUAUUUCUGAACCACUUCCUCCCAGUGGCCGAGGAGUUUCUCCCCAUCUGGGGGUGUAGUGGAUGUAAUUUUCACUAUACACAACCUACAGAAAUGUAGGGAGGACACCAAUCAUUAUACACGAUCUUUCUCGACCUCACAAAAGCCAGACUCCAACUGGGAUGAACCAUGGAGCACUCUCCUUAAAUUUGGCAGUGCACAGAAACUCAUCCCCACCUUGUGAUUGUUUCAUCAUGGCCCGAGAACCAUAAUUGAAACCAAUGGGUGACAAUAGUCAAUCUCAGUGAAUACCAGUGUCAAACAAGGCUCUGUUAUUGCCCAAGACUGGCAAGACCACACCUGGAAUAAUAUGUUUUGGCCUGUUACCCAAGAAAGAACCAACUUGUCUUGGGUAUAGUGGCUUCCGAAAUACAUAUACGACUUGUAUGGUAACUGCUCUGCCCAGGACCGCAAGAAACUGCAGAGAAUUGUCGACACAGCCCAGCACAUCACAGAAACCAACCUCCCCUCCAUGGACUCUGUCUAUACAUCUCACUGCCUUGGUGAAGCAGCCAGCAUAAUCAAAGACCCCACCCACCCCAGACAUUCUUCUCCCAUCAGGUAGAAGAUACAGGACCCUGAGGGCACGUACCACCAGGCUCAAGGACAGCUUCUAUCCUGCUGUUAAGACUAUUGAAUGGUUCCCUUGUAUGAUAAGAUGAACUCUUGACCUCACAAUCUAUUUCAUGUUAUUGUCGACCUGCACUGCACUCUCUGUAGCUGUGACACUACCCUGUACUACCUCAAUGCACUGUGCAAUGAAUUGAUCUGUACGAAUGGAAUGAAGUUUUUCACUGUACCUUGGUGCAAAUGACAAUAAUAAACCAAUACCCAAGAUUUGGAGAUCAUCUUGUGAUAAAAUAUUGAGAUUGACCCGUAUUCACUGUAUUUUAGAAGAGUCAGUGAGUUUUGAAAGGGUAGCACUGACAAGCUGCCUGUUCAGACUAGAGAAUCUGGAACACAGCUAACUACUGAGUGAGUCAACCGUUCAGGAGCAAGACAAAGAAUGUAAAUUAUUUUAAAUCUCUUUUGCAGAGGGCCAAAUCUGUUAAGCAUAUUCAAGACAGAUAAAUUGAUUCCUGCUGUCUUCAGCAAUCUAAGUUUGGGGAUUGUGCAGGAAAACCAAUUAUAGGUUCUAGAUCACCUGUCAUUGUGUGGCCCAUUUGUGCAGUUGGAGGAGCUAGAUGCUCUGUCAGCUAAGUUGUCACUGACUGCUGUUUGGCAACAAAAAGACUGCAAUUGCAUCUAGCCUAUCUUCAUCCAACAUUCUUUAUGCUGGGUGAAGAUAGGCUGUUUAAUGUUUUCUUCCCUAAAUGGAGAUAAUAGUCAAUUGCAUACCACCACCACCCAAACUUUCAAGCCCAAUGCCAACUUCAUUGUAUAGUAGUGGUACAUCCAAAAUCAACUUAGAAGCUCACUUCCAAGCAAUAAACAGACCAAGUUGCUCAUACAUAUUGGCAAAACCAUUUUCUCAAUCCAGACAACACCUCUAAAAGAGUUCCUACCAAACAUGUCAUUUGUGAAAAGAAUCUAGUUUACCCUUAACUCUCAUUUCUGUAAUAGAUCAGAAAUUUAACAAAUGGGAGUAACGGAAGUGAACCCAGCCAAUAUUGGAGCAUUAUCUCUGAGGAAACUACUUUUGAGUUUUAAUUAUGAAUACAUCUUGUAUCCUUAAAGGAAAUAUUCAAAAGUAUGAAUAAAUGUUACAAACAUUGCCACUGCCAUCUCCCUCACAUCCAAAAUACAUAUGUACUUUUUAAAAAAAACUGACAUCUCCCAAAGUGAAACCUUCCAAGCAAUUUGUGAAUAUAUUGCUUAUAUUCUAUUCAAGUUAACUGUACCAGCUGCAUCAGAAUCCUUGAAUAAUCGGCUUUGUAUACCAAACAAACUCAUAAGACUAAUAAAAUUUCAUCUUAAAAUUCCUAAAUAUGAAUUAUCAGUUUUAAGAUGCAGACCCUUACCCACUUCUAAUAGGUGAACACCGCAGCAGAUAAAAGAUCUUAACUAAAGUGCCACAACAUAAAAUUAAUUAUCGACAAACCAUUGGAAUAAAAAUUAAAUAAGAUUCAGUAGGUAUGGAACUGGUUUCAAUGCAUGUAAGAAAACCAAUGUAGGUACUUUUUUUUUAGGAGCAAGGUUUGCUGUCUGACGAAAUAAAAGCUCCUGUAUUACUUUCACAAUACUUUUAUCAAUGUCUUCCUUACUGCUCAAUUACCUUUGACCUGCUUUGGUUUAUAGCUUUCACCAAGUUUUAACAGUAGCAAUUAACUG